CUCUGCUACAAUUGGUGUCAAUUUAUAGUAGGUUUAUAGAUGAUUUAUAAGUGGUAUAUAGGGUAUUUAUAGUAGGUUUAUAGAUGAUUUACAAGGGGUAUAUAGGGCAUUUAUAGUAGGUGUAUAGAUGAUUUAUAAGGGGUAUAUAGGGCAUUUCUAGUAGGUGUAAAGGAGAUUUAUAAGGGGUAUAUAGGGCAUUUCUAGUAGAUUUAUAGAUGAUGUAUAAGGGGCAUAUAGGGCAUUUAUAGUAGGUGUAUACAUGAUUUAUAAGGGGUAUAUAGGGCAUUUAUAGUAGGUGUAUAGGAGAUUUAUAAGGGGUAUAUAGGGCAUUUAU